rnacentral:rRNA from 1 species
ACUCCUACGGGAGGCAGCAGUGGGGAAUAUUGCACAAUGGGCGGAAAGACCUGCAUGCAGCAAUGCCGCGUGUGUGAAGAAGGCCUGCGGGUUGUAAAGCACUUUUAUCGGGAAAGAAAAACCAGGGCUAAUACCCUUGGUCUUGACGGUACCCGUUGAAUAAGCACCGGCUAACUCCGUGCCAGCAGCCGCGGUAAUACGGAGGGUGCAAGCGUUAAUCGGAAUUACUGGGCGUAAAGCGAGUGUAGGCGGCGACGUAAGUCGGAUGUGAAAGCCCCGGGCUCAACCUGGGAAUGGCAUUCGAUACUGCGUGGCUCGAGUCUGAUAGAGGGAUGUGGAAUUCCGGGUGUAGCGGUGAAAUGCGUAGAUAUCCGGAGGAACACCAGUGGCGAAGGCGGCAUCCUGGAUCAAGACUGACGCUGAGGCUCGAAAGCGUGGGGGAGCAAACAGGAUUAGAUACCCUGGUAGGCUCUGCU